rnacentral:rRNA from 1 species
AAAUUGAAGAGUUUGAUCAUGGCUCAGAUUGAACGCUGGCGGCAGGCCUAACACAUGCAAGUCGAACGGUAACAGGAAGCAGCUUGCUGCUUUGCUGACGAGUGGCGGACGGGUGAGUAAUGUCUGGGAAACUGCCUGAUGGAGGGGGAUAACUACUGGAAACGGUAGCUAAUACCGCAUAACGUCGCAAGACCAAAGAGGGGGACCUUCGGGCCUCUUGCCAUCGGAUGUGCCCAGAUGGGAUUAGCUAGUAGGUGGGGUAACGGCUCACCUAGGCGACGAUCCCUAGCUGGUCUGAGAGGAUGACCAGCCACACUGGAACUGAGACACGGUCCAGACUCCUACGGGAGGCAGCAGUGGGGAAUAUUGCACAAUGGGCGCAAGCCUGAUGCAGCCAUGCCGCGUGUAUGAAGAAGGCCUUCGGGUUGUAAAGUACUUUCAGCGGGGAGGAAGGCGAUAAGGUUAAUAACCUUGUCGAUUGACGUUACCCGCAGAAGAAGCACCGGCUAACUCCGUGCCAGCAGCCGCGGUAAUACGGAGGGUGCAAGCGUUAAUCGGAAUUACUGGGCGUAAAGCGCACGCAGGCGGUCUGUCAAGUCGGAUGUGAAAUCCCCGGGCUCAACCUGGGAACUGCAUUCGAAACUGGCAGGCUAGAGUCUUGUAGAGGGGGUAGAAUUCCAGGUGUAGCGGUGAAAUGCGUA